rnacentral:rRNA from 1 species
ACUAAAGCUAGCUCAACAUACUAGAUAAACAUAAAAUUAUACUCAAAUAAAAUAAAACAUUUACCCAACACUAAAGUAUAGGAGAUAGAAAUUUUUACCUUUGACGCUAUAGAGAUAGUACCGUAAGGGAAAGAUGAAAGAAUCAAAUUAAAGUAAAAAAAAGCAAAGAUUAACCCUUCUACCUUUUGCAUAAUGGUUUAACUAGAAAAAAUCUAACAAAGAGAACUUCAGCUAGAUACCCCGAAACCAGACGAGCUAUCUAUGAGCAGUUUAAAAGAACCAACUCAUCUAUGUGGCAAAAUAGUGAGAAGACUUGUGGAUAGAGGUGAAAAGCCUAACGAGCCUGGUGAUAGCUGGUUGUCCGAGAAAGAAUUUCAGUUCAACCUUAAAAAUACCUCAAAAACCCUAAAUUCCAAUGUAUUUUUAAGAGAUAAUCUAAAAAGGUACAGCUUUUUAGAAACGGGUACAACCUUGACUAGAGAGUAAAGUCUUAAUACCACCAUAGUAGGCCUAAAAGCAGCCAUCAAUUGAGAAAGCGUUAAAGCUCAACAAACCCACCAACAUAAUCCCAAUAAUUAAUAAUGAACUCCUAGCCCAAUAUCGGACUAAUCUAUUAAAACAUAGAAGCAAUAAUGUUAAUAUGAGUAACAAGAAACCUUUCUCCUUGCACACGCUUACAUCAGUAACUAAUAUCACACUGAUAAUUAACAAUCAAUAAACCAAAACAACACUAAAACGUUUAUUAACCAUAUUGUUAACCCGACACAGGAGUGCAUUAAGGAAAGAUUAAAAGAAGUAAAAGGAACUCGGCAAACACAAACCCCGCCUGUUUACCAAAAACAUCACCUCUAGCAUUACCAGUAUUAGAGGCAAUGCCUGCCCAGUGACAUCAGCUCUUACUUCCAAUCAGUGAAAUUGACCUUCCCGUGAAGAGGCGGGAAUAAAAAAAUAAGACGAGAAGACCCUAUGGAGCUUUAAUUAACUAAUCUAAAAGUUAAACAACUUAACCACAAAGGGAUAACAUUAAACUUAAUAUAGAUUAGCAAUUUUGGUUGGGGUGACCUCGGAGCACAAAAAACCCUCCGAGUGAUUUUAAUCUAGACAGACCAGUCAAAACAGCUAUAAAUAUCACUUAUUGAUCCAAAAUUUUGAUCAACGGAACAAGUUACCCUAGGGAUAACAGCGCAAUCCUAUUAUAGAGUUCCUAUCGACAAUAGGGUUUACGACCUCGAUGUUGGAUCAGGACACCCAAAUGGUGCAACCGCUAUUAAAGGUUCGUUUGUUCAACGAUUAAAGUCCUACGUGAUCUGAGUUCAGACCGGAGCAAUCCAGGUCGGUUUCUAUCUAUUACAAAUUUCUCCCAGUACGAAAGGACAAGAGAAAUGAGACCAACCUCACAAAUGCGUCUCAGAGACAAUUAAUGAUAUAAUCUCAACUUAAUUAACUCAUGAUAAACCCGACCCUAGAUCAGGGCAU